rnacentral:misc_RNA from 1 species
GGGAAAUGGAAAACAAAAUAAUAAUAGCAAUCAGAAAACAAAACCAACAUAAAUGAACAGAAGCUUCAAAUUCACAAGAAGUGCAAAGGAAAAUUAUAAAUAAAUAAAUAAAACAGUCGCAUGCCAUUCAACGACAUAAUCACACAAACACAAGUUGUAUGUUUACUGUAUAAAUCUUCCAAAUUCAAAUUAAGAAAAAAAAUAUAUCUAGCCUAAUAAAAGGCAAUGGAGGUAUAACAAAUGUACCAUAGAAACAGAAACACAUAUCAAACCGAAGAUAUUUCCACAAUCAGAGAAACAGAGACCAAUGCAGCAAAAAAUAGACAAAAAACACACGCAAAAAACCACUAUUGUAGGCUCGUUCAAGCAAAAGCUAAUCAAAACCAAAGGCAAAUAAAG